rnacentral:ncRNA from 1 species
CUUAUCAAGAGCGGCUGAGGGAACAGGCCCGAUGAAGCCCGGCAACCUGCAUGCAAGUGCAAGGUGCCAAAUCCUGCGGGAAACCGAAAGAUAAG